AUUGAACGCUGGCGGCAUGCUUUACACAUGCAAGUCGGACGAGUGGCGAACGGGUGAGUAACGCCUCGGAACGUACCGGGUAAUGGGGGAUAACUGUGAGAAAGGACAGCUAAUACCGCAUAUUAUUCGAGCGGCCGAUGUCUGAUUAGCUGGUUGGAGGGGUAACGGCCCACCAAGGCGACGAUCAGUAGCUGGUCUGAGAGGAUCCCCCGCCACACUGGGACUGAGACACGGCCCAGACUCCUACGUGAGGCAGCAGUGGGGAAUGUUGGACAAUGGGCGCAAGCCUGAUCCAGCCAUGCCGCGUGUCUGAAGAAGGCCUUCGGGUUGUAAAGGACUUUUGUCAGGGAGGCGGUACCUGAAGAAUAAGCACCGGCUAACUCCGUGCCAGCAGCCGCGGUAAUAC
rnacentral:rRNA from 1 species